rnacentral:lncRNA from 1 species
GCUCUAUUUAGGCUCAGUGACUCUUUUAAGAUACGAUUCUGUAGCCACACUGGCCUCAAACUCGUGGCGAUCCUUCUGCCUCAGCCUCCCAAGUGCAGGAAUUCUAGAAAUGGCUUGUUAACGAAUUAAAUUGUAUUAUUCGUCUGAAGUAAAGCUCAAAACAGCCACGGUAACUUGGGAUUCCGUGCUUGCUUUCCCUGAGUGAUAUCUGGAAUAGCAAGCUCACAGGUUGCUCCAGUGUCAUGAAGGGUCACCCAUGUGGCAAGCCGUCCUGCAGCUCGGUGGUCUCCACCAUCUGUCUCACACCCCACUCUAUGCCACAUCUAAUACUGAAGAGAGAUUCUGGGCACUGUGACAUUGUUUUCCUCCAGUGGCACCUCGUCCUUUCUCAACCCAUUUGGAAGGGAGGAAACCCAGGUCUGCAUAGAGACCUGUCCUGUUUGGCCACAGCAGUCAAGGCCCUUAGCUGACACUCCAGUAGGACCUUCCUAAUCUGGGCUUUCAUAAGUUUCACUUGUGGUCUGGUGACCUGGGAGAUCUGAGCACUUUCCUGGUCUGACUUUAAAAGGAAAGAAAGAGCUCUGGCGCUCCCUAGAGACCUAACAUCUGCACAGACACUGUUACUGUUCUGUGAACCCCAUUCAGAUCUCUCGUAGGUUGAAAAUAACAUGGCAAGCAGAAAAGAUACAUGUAAGCCUUUAUGGCCCACAGCCCAGUAUGGACCACAGGGCUUCAUCCUUGAUGGUGGCUGGCAUCGUGCCCAGGACAAGAGCAAAAUAAGCAAGUACAGUCUGUACCCAGUUCUGUUGUUUCUGCACCUUCACAAAGAUGACCAAGCAGAGGUCAAGGGCCGUGUGCACUCCAAGGUCUUGGAGGUGCUAGCUAAUUCAGAGGGAGUAGCUUAAGGUGCAUAGCUUUUUGUUUAUUGUGACAGGGCUUCAUGUAGCCCAGACUAGUCUUAAAUUUAUUGGGCUACCGAGGAUGACUUUGAACUCCACCCUCCUACCUCAUGCUCCCAAGUAUUGGAAUUUCAGGUGCUACUGCUCCUGGCUUGGUACUCUACAUAAAACAAAACAAAACAAAAAAAGCAAAAAAAAAAAAAAAA